rnacentral:rRNA from 1 species
UACGUAGGGUGCGAGCGUUAAUCGGAAUUACUGGGCGUAAAGCGUGCGCAGGCGGUUUGCUAAGACAGCUGUGAAAUCCCCGGGCUUAACCUGGGAACUGCGCUUGUGACUGGCAGGCUAGAGUACGGCAGAGGGGGGUGGAAUUCCUGGUGUAGCAGUGAAAUGCGUAGAUAUCAGGAGGAACACCGAUGGCGAAGGCAGCCCCCUGGGCCUGUACUGACGCUCAUGCACGAAAGCGUGGGGAGCAAACAGGAUUAGA